UCGCAGUUAAACAAUGUCAGCCUCAAAUCCUCUAGCCCACAUCUUUAAAACUAAUCAUUUGAUCGAAACUAAUUACAAAGACUGGCUCAGAAAUCUCAGGAUUGUCCUGACCUCAGAAAAAUUAAGUCAUAUACUCAAUCAGAAACCCAUAGUAUUAUCAAACCAUCCUACUGCCAAGCAAAAAGUUACUUUUGAAAAGUGGAUGGAUGAAGAC
rnacentral:lncRNA from 1 species